GGUGAGGUGUCCGAGUGGCCGAAGGAGCACGCCUGGAAAGUGUGUAUACCGAAAGGUAUCGAGGGUUCGAAUCCCUCCCUCACCGCCA
rnacentral:tRNA from 2 species